rnacentral:rRNA from 1 species
UACGUAGGGGGCGAGCGUUGUCCGGAAUCAUUGGGCGUAAAGAGCUCGUAGGCGGUUCAGUAAGUCGGCUGUGAAAUUCCGAGGCUCAACCUCGGAACUGCAGUCGAUACUAUUGUGACUAGAGUCCGGUAGAGGAGAAUGGAAUUCCCGGUGUAGCGGUGAAAUGCGCAGAUAUCGGGAGGAACACCAGUAGCGAAGGCGGUUCUCUGGGCCGGUACUGACGCUGAGACGCGAAAGCGUGGGGAGCGAACAGG